CUAGUUGGUGAGGUAACGGCUCACCAAGGCGACGAUGCAUAGCCGACCUGAGAGGGUGAUCGGCCACAUUGGGACUGAGACACGGCCCAAACUCCUACGGGAGGCAGCAGUAGGGAAUCUUCGGCAAUGGACGAAAGUCUGACCGAGCAACGCCGCGUGAGUGAAGAAGGUUUUCGGAUCGUAAAACUCUGUUGUUAGAGAAGAACAAGGAUGAGAGUAACUGUUCAUCCCUUGACGGUAUCUAACCAGAAAGCCACGGCUAACUACGUGCCAGCAGCCGCGGUAAUACGUAGGUGGCAAGCGUUGUCCGGAUUUAUUGGGCGUAAAGCGAGCGCAGGCGGUUUCUUAAGUCUGAUGUGAAAGCCCCCGGCUCAACCGGGGAGGGUCAUUGGAAACUGGGAGACUUGAGUGCAGAAGAGGAGAGUGGAAUUCCAUGUGUAGCGGUGAAAUGCGUAGAUAUAUGGAGGAACACCAGUGGCGAAGGCGGCUCUCUGGUCUGUAACUGACGCUGAGGCUCGAAAGCGUGGGGAGCAAACAGGAUUAGAUACCCUGGUAGUCCACGCCGU
rnacentral:rRNA from 1 species